GAUGAACGCUGGCGGCGUGCCUAAUACAUGCAAGUCGAGCGAAAAGACGCGGAGCUUGCUCCUCUGACGUUAGCGGCGGACGGGUGAGUAACACGUGGAUAACCUACCUAUAAGACUGGGAUCACAUCGGGAAACCGGAGCUAAUACCGGAUAAUAUAUUGAACCGCAUGGUUCAAUAGUGAAAGACGGUUUUGCUGUCACUUAUAGAUGGUUCCGCGCCGCAUUAGCUAGUUGGUAAGGUAACGGCUUACCAAGGCAACGAUGCGUAGCCGACCUGAGAGGGUGAUCGGCCACACUGGAACUGAGACACGGUCCAGACUCCUACGGGAGGCAGCAGUAGGGAAUCUUCCGCAAUGGGCGAAAGCCUGACGGAGCAACGCCGCGUGAGUGAUGAAGGUCUUCGGAUCGUAAAACUCUGUUAUUAGGGAAGAACAAAUGUGUAAUUAACUAUGCACGUCUUGACGGUACCUAAUCAGAAAGCCCCGGCUAACUACGUG
rnacentral:rRNA from 1 species